AGAAUCAACGCUGGCGGCGUGCCUAACACAUGCAAGUCGCACGAGAAAGGGUAGCAAUACCUGAGUACAGUGGCGCACGGGUGAGUAACACGUGAAUAAUCUACCUCCGAGUGGGGAAUAACUGAGAGAAAUCUUAGCUAAUACCGCAUAAUACCCACGGGUCAAAGCAGCAAUGCGCUUGGAGAGGAGUUCGCGGCAGAUUAGUUAGUUGGCGGGGUAAUGGCCCACCAAGACGAUGAUCUGUAUCCGGCCUGAGAGGGCGCACGGACACACUGGAACUGAAACACGGUCCAGACUCCUACGGGAGGUAGCAGUGGGGAAUUUUGCGCAAUGGGGGAAACCCUGACGCAGCAACGCCGCGUGGAGGAUGAAGCCCCUUGGGGUGUAAACUCCUUUCGAUCGGGAAGAUAAUGACGGUACCGAUAUAAGAAGCCCGGCUAACUUCGCGCCAGCAGCCGC
rnacentral:rRNA from 1 species